CAAAACCAUGAGAUCACAACCUGAGCCAAAAUCAAGAGUCAGACACUUAACCAACUGAGCCACCCAAGCAUCCCUCAAAUUUUACUCUUAAGAACAAAACAGUGCGGAAGCCUUGCCUUAAAAAAAAAAAAAAAGAGAGAAGAAAAACCACGUGUGGAGAUGUUCCUUGGGCAGCUUGUGGCCUCUGACUCUGGAUAGUGGUAUUGCAUCAGCGUCCUGUUUCCCAAGCACGACAGCUACUGGGUGUGUGAUGUGGAGACGCCGUCCUUCUUGGAAAAUGCACUCUGAAGAAGUCGGGGCGGAACACAAUGUCUCCAGCACUCGAUCAGUUGAUCGCUAGAUGAUAGGUGUGCUGUCCUGAGCCCUGGGGAUACGCCCAGGAGCCAGCGUAGGAGGCCGUGAUCCGGGGUCAAAUGACAGGCCCUUGGAAGAGGUGCCCCGUGCUCUGCGUCAUCCUUGGUGGCGGAAGCUGCUUCGCGGAGCAGGUGGGGUUUGUGUUCGGUUAGGUCAUUAGAGCAGGGAGGGGUGCGUGCUGGGGACGAGGGGUGCACAUUCACAGCCUACAGGUGGUUGACGUGGAUUAAUGUGGGCAGUGUGGACGGGAUUGGUAAGAAUACAGCGUGUGCCUCAAGGUGACCUGGUAAACCAGGGCAAGGCUGGCCUUCCAGCAAGCGCAUCUGGUCCAGCGUCAGCACAGAAAGGGCCGUGGUCUCAGACCCCCGGACGCCUCCAUCCCCAACAAGACACGUGGCCACCACCUCGCCACGAGCAGAGCUGAGAAUCCGAAUCCGAGCCCCGGGACGGCUGGGGCUCUGCACAGGUAGACUGUCCCCCUCGACGGCAGGGGUAUCAAUCGUCUGGGCCCCCACUCCGUACCCAGGAGGGCCACCCUGAGAAAAGGUCGGGGUCUGUGCACCAGUUUCCCAAAUGCCGCAGCACCCGGGCACAGCGGGGAAGCAGCCCAGAUGCCUGCAGGGUUCGUGUGGGAUCCGUCCAUCUGUCUGUGCCCGGCUCCGGCCCCCGCCCCACCCGGUAACCACCACGGGCCCCAAGCCAGUGUGACGCCAUCCGUACUCUGAGCCCCACGCAGGAGCCUGCCCCACACUCUCCCGGAUGGGCCUCCGCUGGGGCAGCGAGGACCACAGGAGCCGAGGGAUGUACGCGAGACUGCGCCCAGAAGGCUGCGGGGCGUCCUGCAGGGUCACCUCAUGCCAGCUUCCGUCCCUGGAGGACCCACAACUGGCCAAGAGCAAAGCAAGGGGCGGCAGCGACGAGCGAAGGGCCCACGUCUUCUUUCACGCGGCCGACCGCGACGGGCGUGCACACAGACGGCCGAGCACCCGACGGAACGUGACCCGGGGCGCAGCAAACACAACUCGGUGUUAGUGUUCCAUGUGCACGUUUAUUUCUCUCAAAGACCGUUCGUGUUCCAGCCACACCUUCCGCGGUUUGGUGCAGGACAGUGACGUGUUUUGUUUUUUUUUUUAAUUUUUUUUUUUUUUAACGUUUAUUUUUGAGACAGAGAGAGACAGAGCAUGAACGGGGGAGGGUCAGAGAGAGGGAGACACAGAAUCUGAAGCAGGUCCAGGCUCUGAGCCGUCAGCCCAGAGCCUGACGCGGGGCUCAAACUCACGGACCGCGAGAUCAUGACCUGAGCCGAAGUCGGCCGCUUAACCAACUGAGCCACCCAGGUGCCCCAGUGACGUGUUUUUAAAGUGCUACUGCGGAAUACGAUCGCCGUCGGGCAGAACCAUCACCACGCUCGAUCAUCAAGCCAGACCCGGCCACGUGCCUGGAAAACCAUGCGUUUUCUUGUUUUAAAAGAAAAAUCUAGCUUUGAUGGGACACUGGGGUGAAACACCACAAGCCUAAAUCACAAACGGUACGUUCCUGGGCAGGGGGGCGCAUUCCGGACGCCUCCUCACGCAUCCAACGGGAGUGCUGAAGAAAGGGACCCGGAGGGAACCUGAGUGCUCUGCAGGAAGUGGCAGUGUGAGUGUGCCCGUGCCACAUGCUUUGGUAAUCAGGCCUGAGCAGGUUUGGGACAGUGGAGACGGGGGCCUGGCAUCCGGGUCUACACCAGCGCGAGACCCGUUUCCCACCCGGCAGAAACGUUCCGACUUGCGGCGACUGCCGGCUUGUGCCGCGAGGCUUCGAGACUGUGACAUGCGAGACUAUUAUGCGGAACCCCCCCCCCCCCCCCCCCCAGCUGGUGGCAGCGACAGAAGUUAAUCUGUCCCUUUCUGCUCCAGAAGAGAAUGUGCCAGGCCUCUCCGGCAAAACCCAUCAGAAAUCUAGACAGGCAGCGACUGGCCAGGUAGCCACCAGCAGGAAUCAAGGGCUGGUCUCCAACUUAAACUGGAGGGUUGGUUUAUGUAAAGUGCUCUGUCCAAACCUCCUUCUUCACAGCAGGUUUUCAGCCGGGACAGUGAGAUCGCUGCUUCUGGUCUCGCUGCGCUAAUCAUACGCGCGCGAGGCUUCCCUGCGUGCCUCUGCAAAGGUCACGGGCACAGCCCCAAACCGGCAGUGCCAGAACCAACGUGAGCACCCCGUUCCUGACGUACAGGUGCCCCACUCAGACCUUAGCGUCCGGAAGAAACCGCUUUGGACACGCCAGUCUGCAAAACAGCCCGGAGGCCAACACAAAAGUCCUCCAGCCGCUAGCGCACAAGGGAAGGGAGGAAGGCUUUACAAACUCGUAUGUGUAGUCCUCGGUGUGUGACCUUAAUCGGUGUUUAAGUUCAGUGUUCGCGUUCGCAUGAAUCCCUACGCGGGAAAGCGCAGGCCUGGAUAAGCAGCCACGGAAGAAGCGUCCACAGGACCCGUUUUCCCACCGCGCGACCCUCACGCACGCUCCCGCCCCCUAUUUUCUCUUAAACUCCCUGCUAAGUCCCUGUCCUCUGCGACUUCAGGAAGGGCCCUCGUCUGGAGAAGACGGUGAGUGCGUCUUGAGGAGGGGCUUCUGGGCCUUGAUCAAGUAUACGGGGCUCUUGUGUGCCGGACGGACACACGGACACACGGAUCUCCUGGACGCCACGCUCCCCCUUUUGUGUGACGGUCCCGCUUCACACACGGGACAGAAGCAGCCCGCCUGUCACUUGCCCGCGACCCGGGAGGGGCUUCAAGUCACCAGGAAGUGGAAAACGCAGAGCCCUUAAAAGUUAAAACGGUGAACAAAAUCCUCGUGGGGUCAGCGAGGAAUGGGACAUUUUCUUGUUUUGAGCGAGAAAGCUCCCGUGUAAAGCUCGGAGACCAUCGCGUGGCAUGGAGUUGAUCUGAACUGCAAAAUCAGACAGAAAACCGAGGACCGGAACAUGGUCUUUAAAAACAGCAUAUGGUGAAGAAAGCCAUUUUACAGUCACUUGAUUAAUUCCUGGGACACGGAAAAAAAUGUUUAAAUAUGUAUUUUUAAGUAAAAUUCUUAACGUAGUCUUCUAAUCUCUCUCCCUCGAGAAAAAGGGGGGGGAAAAGUUCUAUAAUUUUGGUUUUCGAAGAGGUUUCUGUGUGUCAGUAGCUCUCUUACACCUGAAAUACCAGCGUCAGGAGAAACAAAAAUGUUUGUAGGAAGGAGUCCCCCCAAUUUCCUACCUGUGACAGAAGUCAAGGCUCCAUAAAUGGCCUUUUAAAUCUUAUUGGAACAAAGUGAAUCUUACUGAACCAUCAAAGCCUUCCACACAGAUGACCACGGCCCUAACAAGCUCGUCCCUGCGAAGCAUGCAUUCCGGAGGCACCGGCCAGCGUGCAGGCCCGUGGACAGACGCACGCGCGAGGAACGUGGUCUGAAGGGCACACGGGGAUACGGACACCGUGGGCCACGCUGAUCUUUUCUUCCCACUGGAAAUCAAAGCAGGCGUGCGUCCCCUCCAGCACGCGUCAAGCACUGUUCACAGAAUUCUGGAGAGCUCCCGGAAGCAUGCGAGGCAAGUUUGGCCCAUUUGUUACUAUUCAACUUAACUUCCAUCCCUAAGCCUCGCACCUGAGACCUAGAAUGAUUUUUCUCUUUUGUCCCAGAAGUACUUUGUUUCAGCUAUUGGCAACAUUUGGCAAACUAACCUU